GAUGAACGCUGGCGGCGUGCCUAAUACAUGCAAGUCGAGCGAACGGGCGAGAAGCUUGCUUCUCUGAUGUUAGCGGCGGACGGGUGAGUAACACGUGGAUAACCUACCUAUAAGACUGGGAUAACUUCGGGAAACCGGAGCUAAUACCGGAUGAUAUUUUGAACCGCAUGGUUCAAAAGUGAAAGACGGUCUUGCUGUCACUUAUAGAUGGAUCCGCGCUGCAUUAGCUAGUUGGUAAGGUAACGGCUUACCAAGGCAACGAUGCAUAGCCGACCUGAGAGGGUGAUCGGCCACACUGGAACUGAGACACGGUCCAGACUCCUACGGGAGGCAGCAGUAGGGAAUCUUCCGCAAUGGGCGAAAGCCUGACGGAGCAACGCCGCGUGAGUGAUGAAGGUCUUCGGAUCGUAAAACUCUGUUAUUAGGGAAGAACAUAUGUGUAAGUAGCUGUGCACAUCUUGACGGUACCUAAUCAGAAAGCCACGGCUAACUACGUG
rnacentral:rRNA from 1 species